UGGUGGAGUGAUUUGUCUGGUUAAUUCCGUUAACGAACGAGACCGCUUCCUGCUAAAUAGUUCUAUUGGUGAAUCUCACUGACAGGUGCUUCUUAGAGGGACGUGCGUUCUAUUAGACGCAGGAAGAUAGUGGCAAUAACA
rnacentral:rRNA from 1 species